rnacentral:misc_RNA from 1 species
CCGAGUUCAUGCCCUUACGGGUAGAUCUCCCACCCUUUGUAUACUAUACCUUUGUUGCUUUGGCGGGCCGCCUAGCUACUGGCUUCGGCAGCCCGCCAGAGGACCCAAACCCUUGAUUUUAUACAGUAUCUUCUGAGUAAAUGAUUAAAUAAAUCA